rnacentral:rRNA from 1 species
GACGUAGGGCGCGAGCGUUGUCCGGAUUUAUUGGGCGUAAAGAGCUCGUAGGCGGCUUGUCGCGUCGCCUGUGAAAACCCGCGGCUCAACCGCGGGCCUGCAGUCGAUACGGGCAGGCUAGAGUUCGGUAGGGGAGACUGGAAUUCCUGGUGUAGCGGUGAAAUGCGCAGAUAUCAGGAAGAACACCAAUGGCGAAAGCAGCUCUCUGGGACGGUACUGACGCUGAGACGCGAAAGCGUGGGGAGCGAACAGG